rnacentral:rRNA from 1 species
AUUGAACGCUAGCGGCAUGCUUUACACAUGCAAGUCGAACGAGUGGCGGACGGGUGAGUAAUACAUUGGAAUGUGCCCUGUAGCGGGGGAUAACUACUCGAAAGUGUGGCUAAUCCCGCAUACCAUAGGAUCGGCCCAACUCGGAUUAGCUAGUUGGUGGGGUAAAGGCUCACCAAGCCAACGAUCUGUAGCUGGUUUGAGAGGACGACCAGCCACACUGGGACUGAGACACGGCCCAGACUCCGACGGGAGGCAGCAGUGGGGAAUAUUGGGCAAUGGGGGAAACCCUGAUCCAGCCAUGCCGCGUGUAUGAAGAAGGCCUUCGGGUGGUAAAGUACUUUUGGCAGAGAAGCGGUAACUACAGAAGAAGCACCGGCUAACUACGUGCCAGCAGCCGCGGUAAUUC